rnacentral:rRNA from 1 species
UACGUAGGGUGCGAGCGUUAAUCGGAAUUACUGGGCGUAAAGCGUGCGCAGGCGGUUGUGCAAGACAGAUGUGAAAUCCCCGGGCUCAACCUGGGAACUGCAUUUGUGACUGCACGGCUGGAGUGCGGCAGAGGGGGAUGGAAUUCCGCGUGUAGCAGUGAGAUGCGUAGAUAUGCGGAGGAACACCGAUGGCGAAGGCAAUCCCCUGGGCCUGCACUGACGCUCAUGCACGAAAGCGUGGGGAGCAAACAGG